CCUACGGGAGGCAGCAGUGGGGAAUAUUGGACAAUGGGGGGAACCCUGAUCCAGCGACGCCGCGUGAGUGAAGAAGUAUUUCGGUAUGUAAAGCUCUAUCAGCAGGGAAGAAAGAAAUGACGGUACCUGACUAAGAAGCCCCGGCUAACUACGUGCCAGCAGCCGCGGUAAUACGUAGGGGGCAAGCGUUAUCCGGAUUUACUGGGUGUAAAGGGAGCGUAGACGGCAGUGCAAGUCUGGAGUGAAAGGCGGGGGCUCAACCCCCGGACUGCUCUGGAAACUGUACGGCUGGAGUGCAGGAGAGGUAAGUGGAAUUCCUAGUGUAGCGGUGAAAUGCGUAGAUAUUAGGAGGAACACCAGUGGCGAAGGCGGCUUACUGGACUGUAACUGACGUUGAGGCUCGAAAGCGUGGGGAGCAAACAGGAUUAGAUACCCGUGUAGUC
rnacentral:rRNA from 1 species